AGCACGGGAGCAAUCCUGGUGGCGAGUGGCGAACGGGUGAGUAAUAUAUCGGAACGUGCCCAGUCGUGGGGGAUAACGUAGCGAAAGCUACGCUAAUACCGCAUACGAUCUAUGGAUGAAAGCGGGGGAUCGCAAGACCUCGCGCGAUUGGAGCGGCCGAUAUCAGAUUAGCUAGUUGGUGGGGUAAAAGCCCACCAAGGCGACGAUCUGUAGCUGGUCUGAGAGGACGACCAGCCACACUGGAACUGAGACACGGUCCAGACUCCUACGGGAGGCAGCAGUGGGGAAUUUUGGACAAUGGGCGCAAGCCUGAUCCAGCAAUGCCGCGUGCAGGACGAAGGCCUUCGGGUUGUAAACUGCUUUUGUACGGAACGAAAAAGUCUGCCCUAAUACGGUGGGCUCAUGACGGUACCGUAAGAAUAAGCACCGGCUAACUACGUGCCAGCAGCCGCGGCAAUACGUAGGGUGCAAGCGUUAAUCGGAAUUACUGGGCGUAAAGCGUGCGCAGGCGGUUUUGUAAGACAGAUGUGAAAUCCCCGGGCUCAACCUGGGACCUGCAUUUGUGACUGCAAAGCUAGAGUACGGCAGAGGGGGAUGGAAUUCCGCGUGUAGCAGUGAAGUGCGUAGAUAUGCGGAGGAACACCGAUGGCGAAGGCAAUCCCCUGGGCCUGCACUGACGCUCAUGCACGAAAGCGUGGGGAGCAAACAGGAUUAGAUACCCUGGUAGUCCACGCCCUAAACGAUGUCAACUGGUUGUUGGGAAUUUACUUUCUCAGUAACGAAGCUAACGCGUGAAGUUGACCGCCUGGGGAGUACG
rnacentral:rRNA from 1 species